GGAGAGAGGGAGAGGGAGGCAGGCAAGCUGGAAGACUGUUAUAUGUUCAAAAAUGGAAAGAUACAGCAGUACUACCUACAACAGAGGACUGGCUGGAGAAGAUGAUGGAGUGGAGCUUGGAGAUACUCUGAAAUUACAACUGAUCUCCAGACAACAGAGGUCAGUUCUCCUGGAGAAAAUGGCUGCUUUGGAAGUUGGACUCUAUGCCAUCAUGCCCUACUGAGGUGUCUACCGUCCCGAAACUCUGCCUUCCUCAGGCUCCACCCCCAAAUCUCCAGGAAUCUCCCAAACCAGAGUUGGCAGCCCUACUGCCCCUACUUUCUGUUCUUGAGAAAACAUUAGCUUUCCCUUUCCUGCUCCUUUCACUUUUGCAUCCUGGACAGGCAAACAUGGCUCAUUAAUCGCCCUACUGGAAAUGACAGACCCCCCUGAAAGCUCUUAAGGGUGAUGCCAAAAAAUAUUUCCAGAAAUGAUGUCAGAGUGUUCUGGGAAAACACCACCCUCACAGAGAUGACCCAAUCAGAAAGAGUAAUGGGUUCCUAGUUCCUUCAGUGAGUCACGCUCUUGCUGAGAACACAUCUGAUAAGGUCAGUUCAGCUGCAGGCUUGUGCUGGGUUCACUCUACAGAAGAAAAGGAUGCCACUGCUGGACAAAGUGGCCAGAGAAGCAUAAAUAAGGUUUAGUCGUUACUUGGCUUGCAACUCCAAAAAUUCUCAGACUUGUAAUAGGGUGGGGGAAAUAUCUGGAAUCUUUUUUUUUUCUCGGAACACUAACUGGUGAGAAAGAUAACACUUUUCCUUCUAUAACACUUUUACUUCCAAAGAUUGAUUCAAAAGACGACUUUAAAAAGAUGACUUGUCAUUCAGGAAUGUGGAAUCCCCCAUGAUGACAGCUUUAAAAUAAAUCCCUAUAAUUCUCAGUCCCGUAAUAUGGAAUCUCUGUAAGCAUUCGUUUCUCUUUUCAGUCUGAGUAGGCUGGAAAACACCCAGAUACAUACUUAGGGAGGGAGAAAGAAACCAGGUAUUGUGAAAGACUACCACCUGGGCUCUUGGAGAGAUGCUGUCCAUCGGAGAAGGCAACGCUGACCUUGAUAGACCAACUCAGUAUAAGGCAGAUUCAUGU